ACACGUAGUUUGACUCCUGGCUCAAGAACGAACGCUGGCGGCAUGCCUAACACAUGCAAGUCGAACGAGACCUUCGGGUCUAGUGGCGCACGGGUGCGUAACACGUGGGAAUUUGCCUCGGGGUAUGGAAUAACUCAGGGAAACUUGAGCUAAUACCAUAUAAUGUCUUCGGACCAAAGAUUUAUCGCCCUGAGAUAAGCCCGCGUAGGAUUAGCUAGUUGGUGGGGUAAAGGCUCACCAAGGCGACGAUCCUUAGCUGGUCUGAGAGGAUGAUCAGCCACACUGGGACUGAGACACGGCCCAGACUCCUACGGGAGGCAGCAGUGGGGAAUAUUGGACAAUGGGCGAAAGCCUGAUCCAGCAAUGCCGCGUGAGUGAUGAAGGCCUUCGGGUUGUAAAGCUCUUUUACUCGGGACGAUAAUGACGGUACCGAGAGAAUAAGCCCCGGCUAACUCCGUG
rnacentral:rRNA from 1 species